rnacentral:rRNA from 1 species
CUCAGGACGAAACGCUGGCGGGCGUGCUUAAACACAUGCAAGUCGAACGCUGAAGCUUGGUGCUUGCACUGGGUGGAUGAGUGGCGAACGGGUGAGUAAUACGUGAGUAACCUGCCCUUGACUCUGGGAUAAGCCUGGGAAACUGGGUCUAAUACUGGAUACGACAUGUCACCGCAUGGUGGUGUGUGGAAAGGGUUCUACUGGUUUAGGAUGGGCUCACGGCCUAUCAGCUUGUUGGUGGGGUAAUGGCUCACCAAGGCGACGACGGGUAGCCGGCCUGAGAGGGUGACCGGCCACACUGGGACUGAGACACGGCCCAGACUCCUACGGGAGGCAGCAGUGGGGAAUAUUGCACAAUGGGCGAAAGCCUGAUGCAGCGACGCCGCGUGAGGGAUGACGGCCUUCGGGUUGUAAACCUCUUUCAGCACGGAAGAAGCGAAAGUGACGGUACGUGCAGAAGAAGCGCCGGCUAACUACGUGCCAGCAGCCGCGGUAAUACGUAGGGCGCAAGCGUUGUCCGGAAUUAUUGGGCGUAAAGAGCUCGUAGGCGGUUUGUCGCGUCUGCUGUGAAAGCCCGGGGCUUAACCCCGGGUGUGCAGUGGGUACGGGCAGACUUGAGUGCAGUAGGGGAGACUGGAAUUCCUGGUGUAGCGGUGAAAUGCGCAGAUAUCAGGAGGAACACCGAUGGCGAAGGCAGGUCUCUGGGCUGUUACUGACGCUGAGGAGCGAAAGCAUGGGGAGCGAACAGGAUUAGAUACCCUGGUAGUCCAUGCCGUAAACGUUGGGCACUAGGUGUGGGGAACAUU